AAUCAACGCUGGCGGCGUGCCUAACACAUGCAAGUCGAACGCUGUUCGGGACUUCGGUUCCGGAUGGAGUGGCGAACGGGUGAGUAACACGUGGGUGACCUACCUUCGAGUGGGGGAUAACGUCCCGAAAGGGACGCUAAUACCGCAUGACGUUCUGGAUUUGAACAUCUGGAAACCAAAGCCGGGGACCGUAAGGCCUGGCGCUUGAAGAGGGGCCCGCGUCUGAUUAGCUAGUUGGCGGGGUAAUGGC
rnacentral:rRNA from 1 species